GACGAACGCUGGCGGUGUGCUUAACACAUGCAAGUCGAACGGUAAGGCCCUUUCGGGGGUACACGAGUGGCGCACGGGUGAGUAACACGUGAGUAACCUGCCCUCAUCUCUGGGAUAACAGUCGGAAACGGUUGCUAAUACUGGAUAUGAGCUUGCAAGGCAUCUUGUGGGUUGGAAAGAUUUUUUUGGUUGGGGAUGGACUCGCGGCCUAUCAGCUUGUUGGUGAGGUAGUGGCUCACCAAGGCGUCGACGGGUAGCCGGCCUGAGAGGGCGACCGGCCACAUUGGGACUGAGAUACGGCCCAAACUCCUACGGGAGGCAGCAGUGGGGAAUAUUGCACAAUGGACGGAAGUCGGAUGCAGCAACGCCGCGUGCGGGAUGACGGCCUUAGGGUUGUAAACCGCUUUCAAUUGUGACGAAGCUUUUUGUGACGGUAGCAGUAGAAGAAGCACCGGCUAACUACGUG
rnacentral:rRNA from 1 species